CUACGGGUCGCAGCAGGCGCGAAAACUCUACACUGCACGAAAGUGUGAUAGGGGGAUCCCUAGUGCUUAUGUAACACAUAGGCUUUUGAUAUGGGUAAAAACCAUUUCGAAUAAGUGGUGGGCAAGACUGGUGCCAGCAGCCGCGGUAACCCCAGCGCCACAAGUGGCAACCGUUUUUAUUGGGCCUAAAGCGUCCGUAGUUUGUUAUGUAAAUCUUUUGUGAAAUCGUCUGGCUUAACCAGACGGCGUGCAGGAGACACUGCAUAACUUGGGACCGGGAGGAGUCAGGAGUAUGCCGGGGGGAGCGGUAAAAUGUUAUAAUCCUCGGUAGACUACCAGUGGCGAAGGCGCCUGACCAGAACGGAUCCGACAAUGAGGGACGAAAGCUAGGGGAGCAAAUCGGAUUAGAUACCCCAGUAGUC
rnacentral:rRNA from 1 species